rnacentral:rRNA from 1 species
GAUGAACGCUGGCGGCGUGCCUAAUACAUGCAAGUCGAGCGAACGGACGAGAAGCUUGCUUCUCUGAUGUUAGCGGCGGACGGGUGAGUAACACGUGGAUAACCUACCUAUAAGACUGGGAUAACUUCGGGAAACCGGAGCUAAUACCGGAUAAUAUUUUGAACCGCAUGGUUAAAAAGUAAAAGACGGUCUUGCUGUCACUUAUAGAUGGAUCCGCGCUGCAUUAGCUAGUUGGUAAGGUAACGGCUUACCAAGGCAACGAUGCAUAGCCGACCUGAGAGGGUGAUCGGCCACACUGGAACUGAGACACGGUCCAGACUCCUACGGGAGGCAGCAGUAGGGAAUCUUCCGCAAUGGGCGAAAGCCUGACGGAGCAACGCCGCGUGAGUGAUGAAGGUCUUCGGAUCGUAAAACUCUGUUAUUAGGGAAGAACAUAUGUGUAAGUAACUGUGCACAUCUUGACGGUACCUAAUCAGAAAGCCACGGCUAACUACGUG